rnacentral:lncRNA from 1 species
GGGUUUAGUUAUUGAACCGCUGCGCACUUGUUGGAGGCUUGAGUUAUCUGAACGCCCUAAUUAAAAAAACAAAGCAAACCUUUUAUUUCAUUUUAUCAGUGCUUAGGAGUGCAGAUAUUUAAGCCAUUUAGGAAUGCAGAAUUUCAUAUUCUUUAUUCUGUGGGUACCUCAUUAGAAAAAGUAGCUUUUGUUAAUUGCUGGUAGCAGCUCUCAAUAAGAUUUACUGUUUGGGUUAAAAACCAUUAUAAAGCCUGACCUCAUUACAUAAAUUACUAAUUCACAACAAAGCAGACAUAUUAUCUAUUCACUUGGUGGGAGCAGUUUGCUGAAAGCCCUCUUUAGUUCCUUUGGACCGCUGCCUUGCUCACCCCCUGCUUUUCACUGUGCCUGGAGGCUAUAAAGUGAGAGGUUGAGUUGCUCAUCAAGAAGCAGCAUCUGCUGGAAGAAUUGCCGUGUGUUGUUGUCCAACAGACCCUACCUCAUGAGCGUUACGCUGUUCCUGGUGUAGCUAUCUCCAGUGUCCAUUCGUUGUGAAGGAAACUAAGAGCAUGACGGAGUCGUCUAUUGAAAGCCCUAAAAGGUUCUGGGAGCCACCACUCCAAUUUGCAGCAAGUGCAAAUCUUCAUCCUUCUGAUUCCCGCAGUAACACCAGCGGGGCUGUGGGCAGCGCAGCACUCAGCGUGUGUAAAGUGAGGCGGUGUAUGUGUGAAGAAUUUAUAGAAGGACUGUCCCUUGGGAAGUGUUUUGAAAAUAUCUGACACUUGA